rnacentral:tRNA from 1 species
GUCUUCGUGGUGUAGCGGUCAGCACGCUCGACGCGAAUUCGAGAGGUCCGUGGUUCGAGUCCCGGCGAGGGCA